GCUUACGGCCAUACCACCCUGAAAACGCCCGAUCUCGUCUGAUCUCAGAAGCAUAACCACGGUCAGGCCUGGUCAGUACCUGGAUGGGAGACCACCUGGGAAUACCGGGUGUCCGUAAGUU
rnacentral:rRNA from 1 species